rnacentral:tRNA from 1 species
AAAAUGUUAGUAAACUAAUCACACCGCCUCGUCAUGACGGAAUAACGGGUGAAACCCCCGUACAUUUUA